UACGGAGGGAGCUAGCGUUGUUCGGAAUUACUGGGCGUAAAGCGCACGUAGGCGGCUUUUUAAGUCAGGGGUGAAAUCCCGGGGCUCAACCCCGGAACUGCCUUUGAAACUGGAGAGCUAGAAUCUUGGAGAGGCGAGUGGAAUUCCGAGUGUAGAGGUGAAAUUCGUAGAUAUUCGGAAGAACACCAGUGGCGAAGGCGACUCGCUGGACAAGUAUUGACGCUGAGGUGCGAAAGCGUGGGAGGGCAACAAGG
rnacentral:rRNA from 1 species